rnacentral:rRNA from 1 species
UACGUAGGGGGCAAGCGUUGUCCGGAUUUAUUGGGCGUAAAGAGCGUGUAGGCGGCCUGAAAGGUCAGCUGUGAAAACUCGAGGCUCAACCUCGAGACGUCGGUUGAAACCAUCUGGCUAGAGUCCGGAAGAGGAGUGUGGAAUUCCCGGUGUAGCGGUGAAAUGCGCAGAUAUCGGGAAGAACACCCGUGGCGAAGGCGACACUCUGGGACGGUACUGACGCUGAGACGCGAAAGCGUGAGGAGCGAACAGG